AGAUAGAGUGAGCUUUUACCCUUGCACGUUAUAGUUACUCAUUGUCUCCUAUUCCCAACAUUGUUAAUAUUCUUUUCUUUUCCUUUUGUUUAUCUGUUCUGCCGGAGGGUUAAUAUUUCAUGGAGUUGAAACUUGGAUUAUUGCAUUGAUCUUAUUAGGCAAAAAAAUGCUGCAUUUCCUUUAUUUAGCAUUCAGGAGCAAGAUCUUUGCACCUCUGCCUACUCUUCUCUUUCCUACUCUAUGCACAGCAGAGCCAAACCUAGAACAGCAGCCAAAGCUUCGGAUGGUCUGGAAUGUGGAUUAAGAG
rnacentral:lncRNA from 1 species